CAGCAGGGGAGCAGGGCCCAGGCGACAGGGCCAGCCCCAGCCCCAGGCACCGAUGAUGCCAGGACCUCAGCCACAUUCUGUCCUUAAUAACUCGGGGCCCUGCUUCUACACAUACAUCAGGGAGCGGAGAAACUGAGGACCUUGGCCUCACUCUGCCCUUAGCCCCCGGCUGGGAGGGGUGGGGCCCAGUCAGCGCCUGGCCCCUGAUGCCCGAGCACGCACCCCUUCACGCCGUCCUGCCUGCCGAGGGUUGGCAGGCGUUCUCGGCCUCCGGUGCGCUUUGCCCACACCUGCCUCUACCAGCCUGCUGGCACGUAGAGUCCUGGCGGGGCCAGGAGGCCCGGGUGUGGCGAAAAGCAACUAGCCACGACUAGGCACAUGGCAGAUACCCACAGAUCACGGCUUCCGUCCCUGUGUGAACCCAGACUGCCUUCUGACCUCACUGGGUAUUCAACUCUGAUUGCUGGGAGUGACGGCCUGAAGGUUUGUGCUGAGGAGGAGUCUGAAGAUCGAUCUGGGAUCAAGAGGACAAGGUCACAAUUAAUGACAUCUGUCAGGACCUCAGGAGAGAACAGACAGAUGUCUGCUAUACGUCCCCUGUGUCUGGAACAGUCCAGAUUGUGAGACCUCGGGUGCAGAGGCCACAUCCAUUGUAUGUGUGUUAUUCUGUAUUCUGUCCACAGUACUGCCUGGGGCCCAGCAUACCAUGGGUGCUCAAUAAAUGCUCACUGAAAGGUUUACUCAC